rnacentral:lncRNA from 1 species
ACAAACAACAGAAUCAAAAUCUUUCGAAACCAAAACUAAAAAAACACAACACUACUUACCAUUAUCGCAGGGAAAAAAAGCAGAGGAGCCAGAUAGAUCGGAGCGAAAUAUAAGGGGAAACACUUAAAAUUUCGACAACAAAACAAAACAAAAUAAAAAGAGAAUUUGAGAGGAAAACAGCAGCAAUGGGGGAUUUCGACUGAAAACAAAAGAAAAGGAAAAAGAAAAGGUGAAAAGGGAAAAAAAUUCGGCAAGUAGAGACAGAGAAAAAAAUAAAAGAUUGUAGGGGAGAGUUCUGAAGAGAUUUUCAAAAUCAAAGGGUAACUCCCCAAGCUCCUUUCCAACCACUCAGCAUCCCAGUCCAACUCAAACGCCUCCACUCCUUACUUUUCUACCCAAAUCCCUCAAUCUACACAUCAAAAACCGUCCACCCCUCCCUCAACCACCUGAUUCAAAUUCCACUCCAACUCUUCAGUAGUUCGUCUAGACUAAAACACCCACACGCCACUAGCAGUAAAAUAAAACACUCCCUGACACACAUCAGUACUCGAACUCAUGACCACCAGCACUUUGCCACCCUACUUAUCCACCAAACCAGCA